rnacentral:rRNA from 1 species
UACGUAGGCAGCGAGCGUUGUUCGGAAUUACUGGGCGUAAAGAGUGCGUAGGCGGUGCUCUAAGUCCGUCGUGCAAUCUCCCGGCUCAACUGGGAGGGCGCGGCGGAAACUAGAGUGCUAGAGUGUGGGAGAGGUAAGCGGAAUUCCUGGUGUAGCGGUGAAAUGCGUAGAUAUCAGGAGGAACACCUGCGGUGUAGACAGUUUACUGGACCACGACUGACGCUGAGGCACGAAAGCGUGGGUAGCAAACAGG